rnacentral:tRNA from 1 species
GGGAAACAGCUGAGCUAAUACGUGGCUUCUAACCAUGUAAAGAGGGGUUUAAUUCCCUUCGUCACCCU